rnacentral:rRNA from 1 species
AUUGAACGCUGGCGGCAGGCUUAACACAUGCAAGUCGAGCGAGCGGCGGACGGGUGAGUAAUGUCUGGGAAACUGCCUGAUGGAGGGGGAUAACUACUGGAAACGGUAGCUAAUACCGCAUACCAUCAGAUGUGCCCAGAUGGGAUUAGCUAGUAGGUGGGGUAAUGGCUCACCUAGGCGACGAUCCCUAGCUGGUCUGAGAGGAUGAUAAGCCACACUGGGACUGAGACAAGUCCCAGACGCCUACGGUAGGCAGCAGUGGGGAAUAUUGCACAAUGGGCGCAAGUCUGAUGCAGCAAUGACGAGGGUAUGAAGAAGGCCGUGGGGUUGUAAAGUCUUUUGAGUCGGGAGGCGUUAUCGACAGAAGCAGCACCGGCUAACUCCGUGCCAGCCGCCGCGGUAAUUC